CUAAAUUCUCCUGGGGACCCCAUACAUAAAGCUGGACCUCCAGAACACAAUUCUGUCCCUGCUUGGUGGCCAUGGGUCACAUUAGGGGUCCCCACGCAGGACCCUGAGCCAAGAGUUUUACCAGCUCCUAACCAGGCUGGAGCAGAGGAAGAAGAUUCCCCCCACACCUAGCCCUGCUGCUGGGCACAGGGGGACCACUUGUUAUGAUCUAUGCCCAUCGGACAUGAUCUGAGACCUGAACAGCGAACCUCAUCUGGACUUCAUCCACCUGUGGGAGUUCAGGGGGCCAGCAUGACAAUCCUGACACCAUGAAAGAGGAACUUGGAGAGCUGCGGGGAGAAAGAAAGCAUGCACGGAAGUAGCAAGCUGGACUACACAUCCACCCCAUCCCGGUGAAGCUCAAGGUGCAGAGGAGGGUCCGGAGGCCACACGCGGUUGAAGGGGGUGAAG